rnacentral:rRNA from 1 species
UUAUUGGAGAGUUUGAUCCUGGCUCAGGACGAACGCUGGCGGCGUGCCUAAUACAUGCAAGUCGAGCGAACCUUUAGGAGCUUGCUCCUAAAGGUUAGCGGCGGACGGGUGAGUAACACGUGGGCAACCUGCCUGUAAGACUGGGAUAACUUCGGGAAACCGGAGCUAAUACCGGAUGACUCUUAUUUACACAUGUAGAUAAG